GGCAGUGUAGCAUAGUGGUUAAGGAGCAGGACUCGUAACCGAAAGGUUGCUGGUUCAAUCCCUGCUAGGACACUGCUG